rnacentral:rRNA from 1 species
GACGAACGCUGGCGGCGUGCUUAACACAUGCAAGUCGAACGGUAAGGCCCUUCGGGGUUCACGAGUGGCGAACGGGUGAGUAACACGUGGGUGAUCUGCCCUGCACUUCGGGAUAAGCCUGGGAAACUGGGUCUAAUACCGGAUAGGACUCCUGGCUUCAUGGUUGGGGGUGGAAAGCUUUUGCGGUGUGGGAUGGGCCCGCGGCCCAUCAGCUUGUUGGUGGGGUAAUGGCCUACCAAGGCGACGACGGGUAGCCGGCCUGAGAGGGUGACCGGUCACACUGGGACUGAGAUACGGCCCAGACUCCUACGGGAGGCAGCAGUGGGGAAUAUUGCACAAUGGGCGCAAGCCUGAUGCAGCGACGCCGCGUGAGGGAUGACGGCCUUCGGGUUGUAAACCUCUUUCAGCUAUGACGAAGCGCAAGUGACGGUAGUAGCAGAAGAAGGACCGGCCAACUACGUGCCAGCAGCCGCCGUAA